UGAAUUUUUUUAUUUUUUUUAUAUUCCCGCUUCCCGCAUCCGGAAAUGUAAUCAUGUCCAUUUCCCGCACCGUUUUUUGUAAAUAUUAUAAAAAGAUCUAAAAUCACAGUCUAACCUUUAUAUAAUGAUUUUAAACCUAUAAGCACCCCACCACACUGUGUAAAUAUCUGUGAGAAUAUUUGUUUCAGCAAGAAACCAAUUUAUCCCAAAAGGGAG
rnacentral:lncRNA from 1 species